GUGAGUGAUGCUCCAGUUAGCUUGGCUGAGUGAGGAUUUAAGUCCUGGGACAUCUCUCUUGCAG
ensembl:ncRNA mir-1015 mir-1015 stem loop